rnacentral:rRNA from 1 species
GUGAUCCAUGAAUCUCCGAAUGGGGCAACCCGGUACGAGUUAUGUCGUAUCAUCUACGGAAGGCAGACCUGGUGAACUGAAACAUCUAAGUAGCCAGAGGAAAAGUAAUCAAACGAGAUUCCCAUAGUAGCGGCGAGCGAACAGGGAAGAGCCCAAACCGGACGACUUCGGUCGACCGGGGUUGAGGACUGGCAUAAAGGGAAGUUAUUCUAGCUGAAGCUUCUGGGAAGGAGCGGCACAGAAGGUGAAACCCCCGUAAGCGAAAGAAAAACCAACGGGCCAGUAUCCAGAGUACCACGAGACACGUGAAACCUUGUGGGAAGCAGGGUGGACCACCAUCCAAGGCAAAAUACUACGAAGCGACCGAUAGCGCAUAGUACCGUGAGGGAAAGGUGAAAAGGACCCCGGGAGGGGAGUGAAAUAGAACCUGAAACCGUAUGUCUACAAGCAGUUGAAGCACUUUAUAUGUGCGACAGCGUGCCUAUUGAAGAAUGAACCGGCGAGUUAAUUUUUGUUGCGAGGUUAAGUGGAAGACACGGAGCCGAAGCGAAAGCGAGUCUUAAUAGGGCGAAAGUAACAAGGAUUAGACCCGAAACCACAGUGAUCUAUGCAUGGCCAGGUUGAAGCUCAGGUAAAAAUGAGUGGAGGACCGAACCCGUGAGUGUUGAAAAACUUUGGGAUGAGCUGUGCAUAGGGGUGAAAUGCCAAUCGAACGUGGAGAUAGCUGGUUCUCCCCGAAAUAGCUUUAGGGCUAGCCUCAGGCGACACAUGAAGACGGUAGAGCACUGAUCGGACGCGGGUCUGUAAUGGAUACCAACUCCAGUCAAACUUCGAAUGGCUUCAUGAGAAGAACCUGGGAGUCAGAAUGCGAGUGAUAAGACCCGUAUUCAAGAGGGAAACAGCCCAGAACGCCGACUAAGGUCCCAAAUGCUGUACUAAGUGGAAAAGGAUGUAGGACUUCCUAAACAACCAGGAUGUUGGCUCAGAAGCAGCCACCAUUUAAAGAGUGCGUAAUAGCUCACUGGUCGAGAGGCCCUGCGCCGAAAAUAUCCGGGGCUCAAGUACAGAACCGAAGUCGCGUCAUG